UUCUGGGCCCCGCCUGACUUCCACCGGGGCCUCCGCCACGGCGUGUGGGCGGCCUGCGCCCCGGCCAGCUCAGCCCUCUGCCCCGACACCACGAAACCGUGGGGCGCCUGGGGGGCUCCGCGGGCUGCAGAUGUGGAUCGCCGGCAGGCUCCCCCCGGGGCUCCCGGGGUGCCCACCCAGGGGGUUCCUCCUCUGGUGCCACGUCCACGCCUCUCUUCUCACGUGCAAGCCCUUCGCAAGCCGCGCGUGACUCGGAGGAGCCAAAUCCAUCGCCGAAGAGGUUGCUGGAAUGACUGCCCCGCACAGGUCCCGCCGCUCCCCGUCCACACCCGCACGGGGUGCUGUCAGAGGCCUUACCGUGGGCCGAUCUAACGCGGGGGGGCCUGGAAUGUCAUUUCCUUCUUGGUUGCCUCUCCCGGCUUAAAAUUGAGGCUGCCUGCGUCAAUGAAACCUAGCAUAGGAGCCGGCAAUGGCACUUCUAGGUGUCUCCCCAAAAAAAGAGAAAGUGGGGGGUUGAAGAGAGGCUUGCACACUCGUGUUCAUGCUCCACGCAGUGCAGUCCAAUUCACAGAAACCAAAAGGCAGGAGCAGCCCCAGGGCCCCGGGGGCACGGGGGGAUAAGCCCGAUGUGGCCGGCGGUGCAAUGGCACGCCGUGCGGUCCCCCAGAGGGAGGACUUUCAGACACCUGCUACGACACGACACGCGUGAACGCGGGAGACAUCCUGCUGAGCCUGAGAAGCCAGACACAAAAGGACAGAUGCGCGGGAGUCCGCGUCUACGAGACACAGAGUGAGCGUUGCGUGGGGGAGUCGAGGAGGGGAGAGCCUCCAGCAGGCUGCACGACCGGCCCGGAGCCCGAUGCGGGGCUCGAUCCUAGGACCCUGAGAUGGUGACCUGAGCCGAAACCAGGAGCCAGACGCUCAACCGACGAGCCCCCCAGACGCCCCCUAACCACAUUUAAAAAAAUCAGUGUUGAUUUUUGCCUUUCACGAGUGUGGGUGGGCUCUGUGAGCUCUGUGUGCCUCACCUGCCGCUCCUGUGCGGCCGCGGGCUUGCAGGCCCUUAGGCAGCGUCUACACCUGGCGAGGCGACCACGCCAUCAGCCCGGCACACGCUGCGGCACCGCUGCGGCUGCCCCGGGACGGGAGACAGGGGUCCGACCGGCGGAGCUAACAGCUCUGAAUCAAGGGCUUACUGUCCAGGAAGGUGAGUUACAGACGUCGAAGGACCGUCAAGUUCCUGGAGGUGGGAAGUAGUCCAGGUGGGCUUUGC